CCACCAGCUUCAUGCUAUGUCUAUUUACAAUUGAGAGAUCAAAGACAGGGCGCGAGAGAGAGUGAUGGGUGCUCUGCUAGCGUCUUCCACAUCUCUCUCCCUUCGCGACGUAAUCGCAGGAAUAGUCCUCUUCCUGGUAACCCGCCUCUUUCUCUCCUACCUCCUCCGGGCGGUAUCCGGCCGCCGGCCAUUGCCUCCGGGACCGAAGGGUUGGCCCUUCAUAGGUUGCCUGCCAUUACUGGGACGCAUGCCCCAUGUCUCCCUUUUCGAGCUGGCCAAGGUGUACGGCCCCGUCAUGUACCUGAAGCUGGGCACCAGCGCCAUGGUCGUGGCCUCCAGCCCCGCUGCCGCCAAGGCUUUCCUCAAGACCCUCGACACCACCUUCACCAACAGGCCUCCCAACGCCGGCGCCACCCACAUGGCGUACAACGCGGAGGACCUCGUCUUCGCCGACUACGGGCCCAGGUGGAAGCUGCUGCGCAAGCUGAGCAACCUCCACAUGCUCGGCGGCAAGGCCCUCGACGACUGGGCCGCAGUGCGGCGGGCGGAGAUGGUGCACAUGUUCAGGACGGUGCAGGACCACGCCCGCCGGGGGGAGGCGGUGGACGUGCCGGAGCUGCUGUCUUACGGGAUCGCGAACAUGAUGGGGAUGGUGAUGCUGAGCAAGAGGGUGUUCGAGAGCGGUGGGAGCGAGUCGAGCGAGUUUAAAGUCAUGGUGGUGGAGCUGAUGACGUUGGCGGGGCUGUUCAACGUGGGGGAUUUCAUCCCCUCCAUCGCGUGGAUGGACCUGCAGGGUAUCGAGGGCGCCAUGAAGAGGGUGCACCUUAAGUGGGACGCCCUGAUCAGGAGGAUGAUAGAGGAGCACGAGGCCACGCGAGAAGAGAGAAAGGGAAAGCCCGACAUGCUCGACGCCGUGAUGCAGUAUCGAACGGACAAUGAAGUCAAAGGUGGUGGCGACGGUGAGAAGCUCACGAUGACCAACAUCAAGGCAUUAUUGCUGAACCUGUUCGCGGCAGGGACGGACACAUCUUCCAGCAUAAUAGAGUGGGCGAUGGCUGAGUUGCUCUACAGUCCGGCGAUCCUCAGGCGAGCUCAGGCGGAAAUGGACAGCGUGAUCGGCAGGGAGAGGAGACUGGAGGAAUCGGACAUACGCCGGCUCCCCUACUUCCAGGCCAUAUGCAAGGAGACCUUCAGAAAGCACCCUUCCACCCCUCUGAACCUACCCCGCGUGGCCACCCAGCCCUGUGAGGUGAACGGCUUCUACAUCCCCAAGAACACUAGGCUCAUGGUCAACAUUUGGGGCAUGGGCAGGGACCCCAACGUUUGGGACAAGCCUCUUGAGUUCAACCCGGACCGGUUCUUGACCCCGGAACUGAGCAAGAUCGAGCCCCGUGGAAACGACUUCGAGCUCAUCCCCUUCGGCGCGGGCCGGAGGAUCUGUGCCGGCACCCGAAUGGGAAUCGUGAUGGUGGAGUACAUUCUGGGCUCACUCGUGCAUGCCUUUGACUGGAAGAUGCCGGACGGCGGGAAGGUCGACAUGGCGGAGACCUUCGGAAUUGCGCUGCAGAAGGCGGUGCCGGUCAAAGCCAUGGCGACGCCGAGGUUGGCUCCUCACGUCUACGCGUGAGAUGGGCCAGCCACAGACAGUUUCCGGCUCGCCAAGGCUGCAGUGCCCAUUUGUACUUUUAAUCCGUUGCAGGUUGCAACCAUGAUUUCUAUGCAGGAACACUAUUUCGGGGAUGCAGUUUCAAAACCAAGAAUCAGAAAUGGUUGCAUCGUGACUUUGGGAAACAAAAUUUUGUCAACGAAUAGUCACAUGCGGCCCACACUAGCUUUUUAAUUUUUACAUUGGCUAUUUAAUGUUUACUUUCAAACAAAUAUAGCUGCCUUUUCAGAUAUAAAUGUUUAUAAAUAGGUGCAUCUCCAACUGUUCUUUUUUUC